GUCCCGGACGUGACCUCCACAUUCUGGGCCGGACACAGAUAUUACUUUUAUAGGCUAAAAACACAGAUCGCUUUAAUCAGCUGUAAAACAACACAGUGAACAGUCACUUCUCUUAUUUAAAAGUUUAACUUUACUUUCAUCAAUUUAUAAUCAGAGUUCUUCUGGUAUGUUUGAUUCCUGACAAACAAGGAUUAAAGUCUGGUGCCCCCGUCGCUAAUGAGAUGAUAAAACAGCAGGAACCGAGUUUUUAAUUACUGCAGGCGAUACACUGGAGAGGUACCCACCAUCCUUCCCAUCGCAUGUCUGAGCUGUAACUUCAGGCUUAUGACAGUCCUGCUGAGAUCCCCGGCCUUUGAUGAUCACUCAUUUUCGUCUCCUGAGAACGUACAAAAAUUUCUGAGCUGGAAUCCUGGGGGGCUGGCAAUUAUUGGCAUAACCUGGCUCAGGUUCACCUCCGCGGCCAUCGCGGCUCAGUACGGAUCCGGUUUCCCAGUGCCGGCCACUGCAGCAGGGGAGAUGGACGCUGGAAACAGCCGCGCUGCCCCCGCUCCGCCGCGGCCCGGUCAUGCGCUGCCAGCGUGGGCUUCCCAUGGAUAACAGAGCGCUUAAUUGGAGCGGGCGAUCUCCAGUAUACACUUUUCCAUUUCUUUUCAAAGUCACGCUUGAAAUUUUUUAACAAACCUUAUUUUUAUACUCAUGGAGAGACAGACUGUACGUGUCGUUCCGUGUUUUUUCCAAGCACGCGCCCUUUGUUGCAGGAGACGGAGGUCCUUGGGGGCUCUCCCCGGGGCCCUCUGUCCUGUGCCCUCCACUUCGGGAAGGCAUUGACUGAAUCUGGACGGUGAGGCCUCCGCCACGGUGGACCACAAACCUAAAAUCGCGCCUUGGGCUGUGACGCAGGACAAGUCCACGGAGGAAAAGAGGCGGCAGAGACAGGUUGGCUCCGUCCCCACGGAGAGGUUGUGGAGGUCAUCAAAAGUGGGCGCUGUAGACCAGACUGCGGGUUCAAGCCCGCUCACCUCUGCUACGUGAACCCCUCUCAGGACCUCUGUUUAUGAAGUGGGGUGACCUGGCGCCCCAUCCAUCCCACGGCUGCUUUGGCUCCAUCAACAGAUCACAGAGUGCCUCAGCCAACAGCACCCUGGAAACUCGAAGGUUAGCCCUUGAUUUUCUCAUCUGCUGAAAAACCCAGGCUGAGCGGGGUGGGAAGGUGCGGUACAGUGGCGUGAGCUGCCUCAGCCUCUGGGAGAAAACCCCUGGCCUGGGCAAGAGACUGAAGGAGGAGGAGCCUGGCUCACGCCCCUGCAACACUGAGGUGUCCAACACCAAGCAGUAACCUCCGCAGAGGUCAAGAGGCUCGAGACAAUUCCUAAAGGUUACAGUUUGAUCAAAGACGUCCAGGGCAAAACCAGGGAGAAGGGCAGUGCACAGCCACCUCUGCGUGCUCCACUUGGAGAAUGUGUUUAAGGGUGUGCACAUAGACAGACACACAGGCAGACAGACAGGAAGACAAGCAGACGGACAAGCAGCCAGGAGAAAGGCAGGUGAUGGACAGAUGAACAGACAGAGAGAUGGACAGGCAGACCCAUGUGUGGACACAGAGGACCCCGCAGGGCGCCUGGACCAGGCGCAGGGUUCCGCGGGCGGGAGGGAUGGGUGACCGUCAGGGUGGACGGCAGUUCUCUGGCCGCCCGUGUGGGACUUCUCGAAUCUGCUGUCCUGUGCCACACUAAGGUAAUUCUUGGAACAUUAGAAUACAGAACAGAAAUAAACUAGCUGCCUGGAGCAAAGAUUUCAUCCACGCUAAGCCAUGCCCGAAUCUCCUGGGUGAGGUGAGGUGAAUCUGCCCACUGGUCCUCGUCCAGAGGAGACAGGAGGUUGACAGGUCAGGGGCUGUCUCCUCCGCCUGGAGUCCCACCUGGGGACACCGAUGGCCCAAACUGACCCACAUUGACCAGGGGAAGGGAAAUAAGAGGGUGUUUACCGAGUGUCUGCCAGGGCAGGGCUGGGGGCCAGGCAAGAAUGUGCCCUUUUGUGUGGGGAAGGACGUGCUCCCUGGCGCUCCCUGGCAGAGUAAGCACUCGGUACACACGAGUCCUGGGUUCGAUCCUGAGCACCACUGCCUUGAUGAGGUAGCUGAGUCACCCUUCAGAAACCAGAAAGGAGCAUCUCAAGUAACAACGGCAACCUUCGGUGGCCCUGGGAGACCCUGGCAGGAGAAGCAGCAGCAGAGGUCGGAGGGUCCUGGGCCUCUCGGGAACUCGGGAAGACCCCGUGCCAGGUGAACUAGUGAAUGAGUGCAAGGGGAGAGGUCCUUCAUUCUGGCUCUGCGUGUAAAAGCAAACGUGCAGAUUUAAAAAAGAAUUUGCUCUGUGCCGUCUCUGGAAACGGGAACAUUCAUCUUCUGCAAAGUCACGGUCAAGGAGAGGGCGGGGUUGUUGGCAAAUAUAUCUCAGGGUUCCUUACAGGUACCUGCGAACGGCAAGGAGCCCAACGGACUCAAAUAAUUAAACAGUCUCGUUAGCAAAGCGCUGCGGACAGUGGUCACUGACUCCUCCGCCCGCAACAUGAAAGUCCUCACCAGGGGUGCGCGGGGGCGGCCCAGGCGUCCUCUCUGUCCCUGCCCGUGGACAGUCACGCCCAGGCACACUCACAGCCCAGCGCCGGCGUGUGAUGUGUCCCCCUGCUAUGUUAAAAAUGCAUUCCUAUUUUUUCAAGCAUGCUUCGAUUAAAGAGGGCACAUCUGUUUUAAGUCCCCUUUUAUGAAAA